CCUACGGGAUGCACCAGUGGGGAAUAUUGCACAAUGGGCGCAAGCCUGAUGCAGCCAUGCCGCGUGUAUGAAGAAGGCCUUCGGGUUGUAAAGUACUUUCAGCGGGGAGAAAGGCGGUAAGGUUAAUAACCUUGUCGAUUGAGGUUACCCGCAGAAGAAGCACCGGCUAACUCCGUGCCAGCAGCCGCGGUAAUACGGAGGGUGCAAGCGUUAAUCGGAAUUACUGGGCGUAAAGCGCACGCAGGCGGUCUGUCAAGUCGGAUGUCAAAUCCCCGGGCUCAACCUGGGAACUGCAUUCGAGACUGGCAGGCUAGAGUCUUGUAGAGGGGGGUAGAAUUCCAGGUGUAGCGGUGAAAUGCGUAGAGAUUUGGAGGAAUACCGGUGGCGAAGGCGGCCCCCUGGACAAAGACUGACGCUCAGGUGCGAAAGCAUGGGGAGCAAACAGGAUUAGAUACCCCCGUAGUC
rnacentral:rRNA from 1 species